GCUCACUGGCAGCUUAUGCUGAAACUGGAAUGAUACAGAGAUGAGCAUAGUCCCUGAGCAGAAAUGACAUGUAAAUUCAUGACGUGUCCUAUAUUUUU
rnacentral:snRNA from 1 species